rnacentral:rRNA from 1 species
GGACCAAGGAGUCUAGCAUGUGCGCAAGUCAUUGGGACUAUCGAAUCCUAAAGGCGAAAUGAAAGUGAAGGCAAAGUUAACUUUGCUGAGGGAAGAUGGGCAACUUCGGUUGCCUCGCAUUCCCGGGGCGUCUCAUUCUCAUUGCGAGAAGAGGCGCACCUAGAGCGUACACGCUGGGACCC